rnacentral:ncRNA from 1 species
AAGAGUUAGUCCUAUCCGGAUGGUUGUUUUUGAGAAAUACAUACAUGCAUGUAUGCGCGAGUCAGAGUAAACGCGCUCGCCUGCCUACAUACAUGCAGUGAGGAGGGAGUGUCAAUCAGGCACACGUAGGUGGUCGCGCAGGCUGCCUAGGUCACGCCCGCACGCGUGUGUAUCCGUCAGUAACUUACAGCAAGCAGUGCGAGCAUGCUUGAGUUAGAGCAACAGCCUAACUUCAAGGGUUGGUAAAUCUUGUGCCAGCCACCGCGGUCAUACAAGAAACCCAAAUCAACCGUCCUGUUGACACGGCGUAAAGAGUGGUAAAAUGCCUAUCCUAGCUAACUAAGAUCAAAAUGCAACUGAGCUGUCAUAAGCCCAAGAUGCACCUAAACACACCAUUAAGAUGAUCUUAGGAACUAACGACUGAUUUAAACCCACGAAAGCCAGGGCCCAAACUGGGAUUAGAUACCCCACUAUGCCUGGCCCUAAAUCUUGAUACUUACUUUACCGAAGUAUCCGCCAGAGAACUACGAGCACAAACGCUUAAAACUCUAAGGACUUGGCGGUGCCCCAAACCCACCUAGAGGAGCCUGUUCUACAAUCGAUAAUCCCCGAUUAACCCAACCACCCCUUGCCAACACAGCCUACAUACCGCCGUCGCCAGCCCACCUCGAAUGAGAGCACAACAGUGGACACAAUAGCACCCCGCUAAUAAGACAGGUCAAGGUAUAGCCUAUGGAGUGGAAGAAAUGGGCUACAUUCCCUAUUCAUAGGGCACACGGAAAGAAGCGUGAAACCACUUCUGGAAGGCGGAUUUAGCAGUAAAGUGGGACAAUAGAGCCUACUUUAAGCCGGCCCUGGGGCACGUACAUACCGCCCGUCACCCUCCUCAAAAGCCACAUCCCACAUAACUAAUACCAUUAAUACGCUGAUGAUGAGGUAUAAGUCGUAACAAGGUAAGUGUACCGGAAGGUGUACUUAGAAUAU